rnacentral:rRNA from 1 species
AUUGAACGCUGGCGGCAUGCCUUACACAUGCAAGUCGAACGGAUUUAAGGGGCUUGCUCCUUAAGUUAGUGGCGAACGGGUGAGUAAAGUAUCGGAACGUACCAUUCAGUGGGGGAUAACGUAGCGAAAGUUACGCUAAUACCGCAUAUUCUGUGAGCAGGAAAGCAGGGGAUCGCAAGACCUUGCGCUGAUUGAGCGGCCGAUAUCAGAUUAGCUAGUUGGUGGGGUAAAGGCCCACCAAGGCUACGAUCUGUAGCGGGUCUGAGAGGAUGAUCCGCCACACUGGGACUGAGACACGGCCCAGACUCCUACGGGAGGCAGCAGUGGGGAAUUUUGGACAAUGGGGGCAACCCUGAUCCAGCCAUGCCGCGUGAGUGAAGAAGGCCUUCGGGUUGUAAAGCUCUUUCGGUGGGGAAGAAAUCGCGCUCGUUAAUAGCGGGCGUGGAUGACGGUACCCGCACAAGAAGCACCGGCUAACUACGUG